GACGAACGCUGGCGGCGUGCCUAAUACAUGCAAGUCGAGCGGACGAAUCGAAAGCUUGCUUUUGAUUCGUUAGCGGCGGACGGGUGAGUAACACGUGGGCAACCUGCCCUGUAGACGGGGAUAACACCGAGAAAUCGGUGCUAAUACCGGAUAACACGAAAUGUCGCAUGACGUUUCGUUGAAAGACGGCGCAAGCUGUCGCUACAGGAUGGGCCCGCGGCGCCUUAGCUAGUUGGUGAGGUAACGGCUCACCAAGGCGACGAUGCGUAGCCGACCUGAGAGGGUGAUCGGCCACACUGGGACUGAGACACGGCCCAGACUCCUACGGGAGGCAGCAGUAGGGAAUCUUCCGCAAUGGACGAAAGUCUGACGGAGCAACGCCGCGUGAGCGAAGAAGGCCUUCGGGUCGUAAAGCUCUGUUGUUAGGGAAGAACAAGUAACGCAGUAACUGGCGUUACCGUGACGGUACCUAACGAGAAAGCCACGGCUAACUACGUG
rnacentral:rRNA from 1 species